CCCUUAGAUGUCCUGGGCUGCACGCGCGCUACACUGAUGUGUCCAGUAAGCACCUAACCUCUUCCGAAAGGAACGGGUAACCUUUGCAAAGCACAUCGUGAUGGGGAUAGAUUAUUGCAAUUAUUAGUCUUGAACGAGGAAUUCCUAGUAAGCACAAGUCAUCAGCUGGUGUUGAUUACGUCCCUGCCCUUUGUACACACCGCCCGUCGCUCCUACCGAUUGAAUGUUCCGGUGAGCUCUUCGGACUGCGCGGUCUGCAGUUUCUGCGUUCCGUGCGGAAAGUUGCGCAAACCUUAACAUUUAGAGGAAGGAGAAGUCGUAACA
rnacentral:rRNA from 1 species